GACAGAGGGUGCAAACGUUGUUCGGAAUUACUGGGCGUAAAGCGCGUGUAGGCGGCAAUAUAAGUCGGAUGUGAAAUCCCGCGGCUCAACCGUGGAAGUGCACCCGAAACUGUAUCGCUAGAGUCCCGGAGAGGAUGGUGGAAUACUUGGUGUAGAGGUGAAAUUCGUAGAUAUCGGGAGGAACACCAGUGGCGAAGGCGACUUCCUGGCCUGUUCUUGACGCUGAGGCGCGAAAGCUAGGGGAGCAAACGGG
rnacentral:rRNA from 1 species